rnacentral:rRNA from 1 species
UACGGAGGGGGCAAACGUUAUUCGGAUUUACUGGGCGUAAAGGGUUCGUAGGCGGUUUUUUAAGUUAGAUGUGAAAGCUUGAAGCUUAACUUCAAAAUAGCAUCUAAAACUGAAUUACUAGAUUCUUGGAGAGGUAGAUGGAAUUACCGGUGUAGCGGUGAAAUGCGUAGAUAUCGGUAGGAACACCAGUGGCGAAAGCGAUCUACUGGACAAGUAAUGACGCUGAGGGACGAAAGCGUGGGUAGCAAAC